ACGCUCGACACCUACGGGAGGCNGCAGUGGGGAAUAUUGCACAAUGGGGGAAACCCUGAUGCAGCGACGCCGCGUGAGUGAAGAAGUAAUUCGUUAUGUAAAGCUCUAUCAGCAGGGAAGAAAGUGACGGUACCUGAGUAAGAAGCCCCGGCUAACUACGUGCCAGCAGCCGGGUAAUCUGAGCGGGCUGGCAAGGC
rnacentral:rRNA from 1 species